rnacentral:rRNA from 1 species
AGCGAACGCUGGCGGCAGGCUUAACACAUGCAAGUCGAGCGGGCACUUUCGGGUGUCAGCGGCGGACGGGUGAGUAACGCGUGGGAACGUGCCCUCUGGUUCGGAAUAACUCAGGGAAACUUGAGCUAAUACCGGAUACGCCCUUUUGGGGAAAGGCUUGCUGCCGGAGGAUCGGCCCGCGUCUGAUUAGCUAGUUGGUGAGGUAACGGCUCACCAAGGCGACGAUCAGUAGCUGGUCUGAGAGGAUGCUCAGCCACACUGGGACUGAGACACGGCCCAGACUCCGACGGGGGGCAGCAGUGGGGAAUAUUGGACAAUGGGCGCAAGCCUGAUCCAGCCAUGCCGCGUGAGUGAUGAAGGCCUUAGGGUUGUAAAGCUCUUUUAUCCGGGACGAUAAUGACGGUACCGGAGGAAUAAGCCCCGGCUAACUUCGUG